CCCCGCCUCCCCACCAAAAACAUCGGCGAGGGACGGCAGAGCCCAUCGUGCUCUUGUUUCAUCCUCUCCGCAACCGGCCGUCGUCCCUCGCGCCCACCUUCCCAUCACAUGGCACCGCCACUCUCCGCACCCCACCCGGCCAAACGUUCACAGGCUUCCUGCCACCGGCGGCGGCGACUAAUCAGGGUUCGUCUCCGUUCCAGCGCUUCACGUUCACGAUCGCAAUGUACCAGCCACUUUCCACAUAAGUACUACUCCCUCCGAUCCUAAAUUGUUGUCGAAAUAUUACAUGCAUCUAGACGUUUUUUAAGAAUAGAUACAUCCAUAUUUGGGCAAAAUUGAGUCAAGAAUUUAGGAUCAGAGGGAGUACCAAGAUAAGUUCGUCGCUCAACCAUGCACUUCUUUUCUUAACGUGACAUCCUAUUUUAAAUUCCCCGUUAAAUAGUAACCAUCAGUGUUAAUUUGCCACCAUGAUCUGUUGUAUUUGCAAACUGCAACCACCUUUCCAUUCUUAUAAAACCCUCAGUGAAUGGAAAUAAAACAUCAUGGAAUAUAAAAACAAUCGUAAUUUUUCAUUUGAAUAACAGUCACUUAAAAGUUAGGACUUAGAAAGUUAUGUCUCACCUUUACAUGAUAUCAAGGUAGAGAUGACAGAUAUAGUACAUGAUUGGUUUCAGGAGAUUUUCCUCUGAGACACCGCAAAAGCCUGCAUUUUAUCAAAAUACCACCAAGUGCCUCAUUGACCCACUUGUUACCACACAGCGUAAAUAUUUCAAUAAUCUCUGGCUUUUGCUAACGGAUAAUUUGAAAAUUCUUCUGAUUCUAGUUUUAGCAUAAUUGCCAAAAAAAAUAAUGGCAUUAAAUCUGAAAUGUUCAGUAUAAAUGCUAGCACUGCGUUUUUUGUUUGGCAUAAACAAACCCAUGUGCUCACAGCGGUGUAAAAUGCCAUUCUGAAACUGCGGUAGUCACACAACAGAGGAAUAUGAUUAACCGUGUCUCCUUGUAACUGAAAGUUGAAACCAGAGAUGAAGUUGCACAGGAAUUUUGUAUAGCUGACGCCUGACGGACAUUCUCAUUUCUUACCUAAUAGUUUCAGUCUCCAUGAACGGUGGGGCCAGAAAUAGUAAUGGCAUUAAACCUGAAAUGUUCAGAGGACCGGUAUACAUGCUAAGCACUACGUUUUUUAUUUGGCAUAAACAAACCCAUGUUCUACAGCGGUGUAAAGUGCCAUUCUGAAACUGCGGUAGUCAUACAACGCAGGAAUAUGAAGUUAACCGUGUCUCCUUGUACUUGAAAGUUGAAACCAGAGAUGAAGUUACACAGGAAUUUUGUAUAGCUGAUUAUUGUUCACAUUUCCUAACCUAAAAGCUUCAGUCUCCAUGACCGGUGGGUCCAGAAUAAACAGGCACACAUGGCGGCUAAAAGCGAGCGUGCUUUCAGUAUAUUUUCAUUACAAUUGUUCACCUGUGGGGGUAAAAUUUUUAUCUCUUACUGCACAUGUCAUGGCCUGAAUCUUGCACCAGUCGACACACAUAAACUAGAUUGAUGACACUCAAAGCGUUGAAUCCAACUGGAUGCUAUGGUGUUCUUGGAAAAGGCAACACCAAUGAUAAGCUAAUGGCAGGUAUAAGAUAUAUAGGUUGUAAAGGGGGCUUGAUGCAGUAGAACAUGCCACUGUAGGACCUAGAGGAGUUUCAGAGCAAGCUAAUAUCGAAUUAUCGAUACAUGCCAUGGUGAAUGAAAGGGCAACCAAAUGCUGCAGGAUGAUUAUGAAAACACAUAUGUCACGGACGCUAUAAUUUCUUUUAAGCAGUCAGAGCAUCCAGGUUCCACACACAUGGUUGUCGCUCUUACCAUCCGUUAUCUCUAUUUGGGCCUUGGUGUAAACAUCACUCCUAAUGUGUGGAUUAGUGCCUCCAUAUAUACCCUCUAAAUUAUACGAACUUGCCAAGUGAUGGACGGAUGGAUAGGAGAUAUCUUCUGUAUAAUAGUGAUCGAUCAUAUAUAAAUGAACUGAUCGUGCUUGCUAUAUCAAAUAUCAGUGACUAACACUAUUUUAGUGCUUGUAAUGUUCAGUGACUAGUAAAUACCCUUUUAAUGCUCUAUAAUCCUUAUCAUACUUAAUUUGUUAUUUGUAAUAAAUUAUUCCUUAGUCAUGUAAUGUAAUGCUUAUAUCUUUCUCUUAUUGGACUGUGUAAAUUGGGAUAUGAUAAUUUUCAUGGAUGUUUAUUUUCAUUCAAGUCAUGUAUGCAUAUACACAAGCUUAUAUGUUAUACAAGGUAAUGCAAACCCAUUUUGAAUAGAUUGGGUUAUUUCUUGUAAAUACAGAGUGAUUACUACUUGUCGAGUCAUGUGGCUUUACAUACUGUAUUUCAAAUCUGUUAACUUGGGAUUAGUCUGUCCUUUGCAUCCUGAUGAUAAGCUGUCUAUUCUGAACCGCACCACGAUCAGUUGCAUGUAUGCAGCUACAGAGGUAAGUGCUAACAACUCAUUAAUCUGUUUGCGGAAUUUGGGGUUCAGUUUUGAGAUACACACUCGAGUUCAGAGACAUAAGUUAUGAUCAGCUUCUGCUGCCUUCGCCAAUUCAUGAAGCCUGCCUCUACCAAGAACCUUCUCCUUCUGCAUAACAGACACCUGCCCCAUGAGGCUUACUUGGGUUGAUCCACUAUAGCCCGUAGACUAUGGGGUUUGGGUUGCAGGUGGCUGGGCCUCUGGCCCAUGUCUGCAUCGUCAGUUGUCAGACAAGCUCCAGUGUCUGGCACGCCCUCCUCUUCAGUAUCUUGCGUGUCGCCUUCGUCAGUUAGCGACGGGUGCAGUUCACUAACAGUAAGAUAUCACAAUACGAAUCUGUGUGCAUUGGAUAAUAAAAACUUCAUCAGAUGAUUUCUCUGUUACCAUGCUACUUGCCUACUUGGUUUGGUAACUGAUAACAGAUCUUGAUAAACACACGUUUUUAUCUUGAAUAACACACUUCUCAGAGAGUUGUGAAUUGCUUCAUGCUGUUAGACUGCUCAAUAUUCAGUACUACAGUUGUGUUAUGCCACAGUAGACAACUGCACAUAUGGUUUGCGAAGGAUACUGAGUGUUAGCAAGUCUAGUUUAAACAAAAAAAAAUCUACAGAUGUAGGAUUUCUGUCAUACACAUCCUUGUACUACGGUUAGAGUUGUGGAUGAUGCAAGUUCAUGAAGAUUAAUAAUGUCCAUCUGUCGCGUGAAAUUGCUAUAUUUAUCUCCAUGCCCUGAAAAAUCACCUCUAUACAUUUCACUGUCUGUUGUCUUAGAAUUUCAGUUGCCUGUAUGCCUAGACUUCACUGUUAGAUGGUUCAAUUGAUUGGCUCACUACUACUAGGAGAUGCAUGACAUACCAUUGGCGGAAAAGCUAUUGCAGUAAUUUUAACAGUGGGUGUUUCUGGUGGAAAUUAUUUUGAACCUGAAUAUUGUUGAAGAAACAAUAUAUUCAUGACAGAGUGUAUAUGUUAAAUCAGCUGAUCAUUUGACAAAAGAAUUUUUCUUUUCUCUUUCACUCGCGAAUCUAAUCCUGGGGCUGAUAGUUUUCUGUAGCAUGCUGAAUUCAACUAGCACGGGAAGGUUCUAUGGUUCCCUAUUUCUCUAUAUAAAGCCAUCUGUACAGCUUUGAAAUAAGCAAAAAUAUAAUGCUUUAGAUGAAGCACAACAUAUGAAAUACUGGAAAAAGGUAUAGCUUAUAAAGUAGCACAACUCUCAUGUUGGCAUUUCUCAUUUUAAUAAGCUUCUCUGUAGACGUAUUUGUCCAUUUUGUUUACUAGACCAGAAAUAUUGUAGGCUAAGAUGAACACACUCUUGUAUGGUGAACAUGUAUAACUAUCACUAGGCCUUUCUGGUGUUUCCGCACAGUUUGUGAACCUUACCAUGGUGUUUUCUCCUUGUCAGUUCGACUAUCUGAGCAUCAUCAUGUUUUCUCAUUGUGGGAUGGAAAGAUGCAGAUAGUUCAGUGUCAUGAUCGGCUCUGAAACCUGGUUGGCGUCCUGUAUAACAUUGGCUUGGAAAGAUCUUGCGGAAGCUGUAUUAUUAUUCAAGUGUUCUGGCACAUAUAUCAGUGAUCAAUGCCUUUCUGUCCAUACCAAUAUUAAUCACCUAACCAAGAUUGAAAAUGAGGAGUCUCAUUUCUGAAGUAAGACAAGAAAAAUAUCCAAAUCCCAAACGGUAUUUGAUGGUUCCCUCUCCAGGUAUUGCUCUGACGGUACUAAAAGGUCUUGCCAAUAGACCCUAACCGUUCUCUCUCUUCAGAACACUACGUGCAAGGUCAGCAUCUGUCUACGUGUUCCAAACUGCUUUCCUGGUGUACUGGGUGCCAGGUCAGCAUCAGUUUGCUGACUCAGCUCUGCUUUUGUUUCUUUCUUCUCUAUAACUGGUCAACAGAAGUUUAUAGACAAAUUCUGUUUCUUGUUGUUUGUCCGACCUGAGCAAUACAGGGAAGAUUUCCUUUGCGGCUGAAUCCAUGACAUCAGAUUUGUGUUAUUUUGGCAUUCUUCCUGGCGUGUGCAUUGGCAGCGUGUGGGACAAGAGAACCAAACCAAGCGGAUGUAUGCACAAAACAGUGGUGACCAUUGCAAUUUGCAAGUAACAACCGUGUCAUCUAAAAGAACCAGUUAGUUUCUUGCUCAAGCUUGGUGUAGAUGGUUAACAGCUGAACUUCCGUUACACCAUUGUCUAACAAAUUUAAUGCGGAAGUUGUGUUUAGAAUUUUAAGUAGUGCUGAUCUCGACAGGUGUUCGUGAAACUCGUUGUUUAUUUGCUGAGCAGCACGCUCUGACUUUCUAAAAAAGUUUAGAGUCUGACUAGUCAAUGGUCAACCCGCUGGCAAUGUUAGCUGCCUUCGACAGUUCUGCUCUAGUUCUACUGCUGCUGCUGCAGCCAAGCACCCAUUCUGAGAAAAAGCAUCGGCGCUGUCAUGACUGCGCUUACCACCAUUAUUAUUGCUUUUGGUAAGUUGACACCCCAAUUUGCAGCGGUAUCAUGCACUGCCAAUCGUGCAAAGAACGUUUACAUUUGGUUA